CAUGGACUUGCAGUUUUUGUUUUUUGACAUCGACAAAAUACCUCCUUUUGCAUUUUCCUGAUUCAUAUAAUUCUUUGUGUUUAAGUUAUCUCCAUCUAUUAUUUUAGUUUGGCCAACAUCUUUUUUGUCUGAUUGCCCCACAGUUUCUUGCUUUGUUUAUUUUUUCGCUACAUGUUCCUAAUCCAUCAUAUGAAAUCGCGUGAGAGAGAGAGAGAGAGCAGCGCGUGACAGAUGGGAUCGGGGGAAGCGGUGUGAACUGUGAAGCGAUGCAUUUUUUGUUUUACCUAUUUUGCAUCUAUACGGCUGUACCAUUCAUCCCUUUUCUAUUCUCGUUCUCCUCCCAUUCCUUUUUCUCUGUUUAGAUCCUGCAAGGGAGGAGUAUGGGGUGAGAAGGGGGAUUUGCGGCAGACUGUGGUGGUUGCAGGCUCUCGGCUGCGGCAGGUCCUCCAGCUCGAGUACACGUGCCUGCUGCUCGCCGGCACCGCCGACUUGAUGGCCGUGGAGCUCGCCCCCUUGAACCUGAGCGGUGGCUCUCCUCCAGACAGUCCACAGGAGGAGGCAAGUUGAGGGCUUCCUAGUUGCUACUACUGUCAGCUUCAACCUAUGCAAUGUGUUACAACUUUGCAUCAUUCCUACUUCAUGCACACCGGCUGAUUCUUCACAGGUUUUACUAAGGGCGUUGCAACAUGGUGGGUACUCUUGAAGAGAGAUAUACACCAGGGAGUAAUUUUGAAAAAAAGUAGAUAGUUUGGGUUCUUGGCCUCUGGAGUUCUGGAGCAUGAGAUAGAUUGAUGGAGAUCCUAUAGAAUCUAUAAGAUGGAUGGGAGUUCUACCUACAGGUGUAUGCGAGUUCACUUCCUAGUUGCAGGUGAUGUCACUCUCGUACUACUUAGAACAUUGCGGUUGAUUCUUCACAUGUAUCUUUUUACCUUCUAGUUGGACUGAAAUGUCUGUUUGUUUUAUUUGUUGUUAGCUUAUAUUGGAAAAUUAAAUACUUUUAAUAUAAUUCAAGAAGGCCUAUAUUAUUUGAAAUUUUCUACUGGCUCUGUUGAACUGAAGAGGACACACGUUAGGUGAAUGUCUCAAUGUAUUCAAAAUUUACAACAUGACAUGCAUGGUUCUGAUAGUGCUGACAAACGCUUGUUAUCUAACAGGUGUCCUUAUUGGUAGAUGCUAAGUAAGCUUUCUCUACCUCAGUAAAUGCAAUAGUCCUUAGUUCACUGAAUAAGCUACUAAUCAAUAUAUAUAUUUUGGAUAUGAUUCAUUAGUUCAUAAAUAUUUAAGCAUAGAGUCCCAUACUUGUCAUGAAGUUCCUGAGUUUCCAAUAUUCUAAAUUUGUAUAUAUUCUUGUGGGGAUGGUUGAGUUUAGGUAAAAAUGAUCAAUCUAUAUGAUAUUAUUAGUAAAUAAAAUAAGAGCUUGUAAUGUUAUUGGACUUACCAUUGAACUUCUGCACUAUUGUGGAGGUUACAAUAAGGACAGUUUGGUUGUUGCUUACACCCUAAUUUCCCCAUAAUGUCAAUACGAUUUUAUUACCCUAAAGAGUAUAAGCAGAAAAAACUAAUGCUAAUAGCAAUGGUAGAAGUCCAAUUCGUAUUUUAAGAACGGGUAUGCAUUAUGCACUUACUUUGGUAUAUAAUUUCAAUCUGCAGAAAUAUGAAGGUUAUUAGUUAUUUCUUCUUAUUCUUGAUUCCACAGGCUUCAUUUGGGGAGUAACCAAUGACAUUUAUUGGAGAUUAAUUAGUUCACAGUAAGGAUUAAUUACUUGAAAAAUCUUAUUUACAACUAAAAAAUAUAGACAUACCUGAGCAUUGUUUAUCAUUCUUGGCCUGUUCCUAUAAUAUGUCUUUGCUAGCAAUCUCGAAGUAGUAAUGCGGAUAACCUUAUGCCGAUCUUUUCACCUUCAAAUUGUUAAAUCCAUAAAUAGAUUUGUCAUUUAGCUUUGAUUUCUACGUGUCCAUCAAACCUCCGAGACGGUUGAAUGAAUUGUUUGGCCCUAUAAGAACAGUCAAAUUAUACUCAGUGACUGUUGUUUUACUUUUAAAAUGAUGGAACAGUCUGAAAUUAGAUAUGUUAUGAAAUAACCUUUUCAUCCAUCUAGAUCAUAUUGAGGCUCAUAAGCUCGUGUCGGUUGUACAUUCCAGUUUUGCUUCCUUGUUGUGAAGUCACUAUGCUUCUUGUAUGACAUUGUUUUCUCUGCAAAAAAGUUAGACAUUUGUUAGUCAAUUGAUAAUAUACAUACAAAGAUUGUAUCUGGAUAAUAAAUACACACCGUUAUGAUUCAGGUGAUAGGCAACUCGGAAGGAUGGCAGGGUGUGACUUCGUCGAGCAUUGAGUCGCACGUCAAGUUGCAUUUUUCACAGAUUCUGAUCUUUUCCCAGCGUUGUGUUGCCCUCUAUAGAAACUUCUUUUGUUGACGUGUGUCGAGUAGCAGAUUUGGCUGGCUUGAAUUUUGGAUAUGUGCUGGGCAUGGCCGAAAUUUGGCUGGCUUAAAGUUUUGGAUGCGUGCUGGGUAUGGCCGGCUGGGUGCCUUCUUAUUUGUGCCUGCCUUGGCCGACUACAUGUAAACUUCAGGUUGAGUCCGUAUGGAAUUAUGCAUGCAGUCUGGUACUGGUGCACGUGAGUUUCCAUAUGGACAAUUUGCCCGAUUUGGAGAUACAUGGGCAUGUUUUUUCUAAGGAAAGACCUGCCAUAAGGAAAGACUUGCCUAGGGGAUCUCUUUUUGUACGUGUUCAAGUUGGACUUUGUUCAACAUGAUUGACCGGAGGUUGUUCGGAGGCUUUUUUCUACGUGAUUGCUGGGGCAGAUUGAUUGGUUGCAUCCAUGCCAAGUGCUAACAUGAACGUGGGUUCAUCUUAUACGUGUCUCUUUUUUGCGGGCUUAUCUUAGACGUGUCUGAUUUAAAAAGUUGUACAUGUUAUCGUGUACAUAAUUUUUACAUAUUUUUAAUCUCAACCAUUGUUGUAUAAAUCAAUGGCUAAUAUAUUUUGUACCAACUAUUGCUAACUGGUCACCGUUUUACCUGAAGUAUGCACCCAUGCAUGUGGUCAACGUGUUACCCAUCUCUUCAUUUCUUCUUCCGAAUAGAUAAAACAGAUUCAUUUCUCUUGCUGGCUGUACUUUUUUAGAUGAGCCGGCUGUACUUAAUCUAUAGAAUAUGAAAAACAACUUCGGCUAGCCCAUGCAAUUUUUUUAGAACUGCCCAUGUACGGGUGGUACAGGUCCAGGGAUCAUGAUGCAGGCCCAGUUGAGUAAUUUAGUGAACGAUACCACUCCAUAACAUUAAAUCCAUAUAGGAUACAGUGCUAGUGUACUUCCUUCCCCUUCUCUCAUCUGAGUCAAUCCCGUAGAGCCUCCUCAUCCACACACGUCAACGCCUUCGAUUAGCAGCCUGCGAAGAAAGAUGUCACUGCUGGCGCUGAUGCAAAACUAAUUCCCAAGCCAUCUCGGCACUAUUUUUGGUCUCUCCUUCCAAUUUCUCUUCCUUCGGCUAUAUUCCGCAAACUAUAGUCAUGGUGAUAUGACGUUAGGGUGGCAUUGAGCACAAAGAAUGGUUGCCCUCAGGUGGGCCGAGUGAUACGCCGGCUAUGGUCCAUGAGAUGGGUAUCAGAGGCAGAUGUGUAUAAUUAAGGAGAUUUAGGAACAAAUACAAACAUUUGAGCAGUGUGUACAUGGAUGAUAAGAUGGAUGGGAGUUCUACCUACAGGUGUAUGCGAGUUCACUUCCUCGUUGCAGGUGAUGUCACGCUCAUACUACCUAGAACAUUGCGGCUGAUUCUUCACAUGUAUCUUUUUACCUUCUAGUUGGACUGAAAUGUAUGUUUGUUUUAUUUGUUGUUAGCUUAUAUUGGAAAAUUAAAUACUUUUAAUACAAUUCAAGAAGGCCUAUAUUAUUUGAUGUUCUCUACUGGCUCUAUUGAACUGAAGAGGACACAACGUUACGUGAAUGUCUCAAUGUAUUCAAAAUUUACAACAUUACAUGCAUGGUUUUGAUAGUGCUGACAAACGCUUGUUAUCUAAUAGGUGUCCUUAUAGGUAGAUGUUAAGUAUGCUUUCUCUACCUCAGUAAUUCAAUAGUCCUUAGAUUCAGUGAAGAAGCUACUAAUCAAUAUUUUUUUUGGAUAUGAUUCAUUAGUUCAUUAAUAUUUAAGGAUAGAGUCCCAUACUUGUCACGAAGUUCCUGCAUUUCCGAUAUUUCUAAAUUUGUAUAUAUUCACGUGGGGCCGGUUGAGUUUAGGUAACAAUGAUCAAUCUAUUAGAUAUUAUUAGUAAAUAAAAUAAGAGCUUGUAAUGUUAUUGUACUUACCAUUGAACUUCUGCACUAUUGUGGAGGUUACAAUAAGGACAAUUUGGUUGUUCCUUACAUCCUGAUUUCCCCAUAAUGUCAAUAUGAUUUUAUUACCCCUAAACAGUAUAAGCAGAAAAAACUAAUGCUAAUAGCAAUGGUAGAAGUCCAAUUCAUAUUUUAAGAACGGGUAUGCAUUAUGCAUUUACUUUGGUAUAUAAUUUCAAUCUGGCAGAAAUAUGAAGGUAAUUAGUUAUUUCUUCUUAUUCUUGAUUCCACAGGCUUCAUUUGGGGAGUAACCAAUGACAUUUAUUGGAGAUUAAUUAGUUCGCAGUAAAGAUUAAUUACUUGAAAAAUCUUAUUUACAACUACAAAAUAUAGACAUACCUGAGCAUUGUUUAUCAUUCUUGGCCUGUUCCUAUAAUAUGUCUUUGCUAGCAAUCUUGAAGUAGUAAUGCGGAUAACCUUAUGCUGAUCUUUUCACCUUCAAAUUGUUAAAUGCAUAAAUAGAUUUGUCAUUUAUCUUUGAUUUCUAUGUGUCCAUCAAACCUUCGAGACGGUAGCAUGAAUUGUUUGGCCCUAUAAGAACAAUCAAAUUAUACUUAGUGACUGUUGUUUUACUUUUAAAAUGAUGGAACAGUCUGAAAUUAGAUAUGUUAUGAAAUGACCUUUUCAUCCAUCUAGAUCAUAUUGAGGCUCAUAAGCUCGUGUCGGUUGUACAUUCUAGUUUUUCUUCCUUGUUGUGAAGUCAGUAUGCUUCUUGUAUGAAAUUGUUUUCUUUGCAAAAAGUUAGAAAUUUGUUAGUCAAUUGAUAAUGUACGUACAAAGAUUAUAUCUGGAAUAGUAACUACACACCGUUAUGAUUCAGGUGAUAGGCAACUCGGAAGGAUGGCUGGGUGUGACUUGGUCGAGCAUUGAGCCGCACGUUAAGUUGCAUUUUUCACCGAUUCUGAUCUUUUCCCAGCGUUGUGUUACCCUGUAUAGAAACUUCUUUUGUUGACGUGUGCCGAGUAGCAGAUUUGGCUGACUUGAAUUUUGCAUAUGUGCUGGGCAUGGCCGAAAUUUGGCUGGCUUAAAGUUUUGGAUGCAGGCUGGGUAUGGCCGGCUGGGUGCGUUUUUAUUUGUGCUUGCCUCGGUCGACUACGUGUAAACUUCAGGUAGAGUCUGCAUGGAAUUAUGUAUGCAGUCUAGUACUGGUGCACGUGAGUUUCCAUAUGGAAUAUUUGCCCGAUUUGGAGAUUCAUGGGCAUGAUUUUUCUAAGGAAACAUGUGACAUAAGGAAAGACUUGCCUACGGGAUCUCUUUUUGUAUGUGUUCAAGUUGGACUUUGUUCAAUGUGAUUGACCGGAGGUUGUUUA